CCAUGCAAGUCGAACGGAGUUCUUCGGAACUUAGUGGCGGACGGGUGAGUAANACGUGAGAACCUACCUUCAGAAUGGGGACAACAGUUGGAAACGACUGCUAAUACCCAAUGUGCCGAAAGGUGAAAGAUUUAUCGUCUGAAGAUGGGCUCGCGUCUGAUUAGCUAGAUGGUGGGGUAAGAGCCUACCAUGGCAACGAUCAGUAGCUGGUCUGAGAGGAUGAGCAGCCACACUGGGACUGAGACACGGCCCAGACUCCUACGGGAGGCAGCAGUGGGGAAUUUUCCGCAAUGGGCGAAAGCCUGACGGAGCAAUACCGCGUGAGGGAGGAAGGUCCUUGGAUUGUAAACCUCUUUUAUCAGGGAAGAAGUUCUGACGGUACCUGAUGAAUAAGCAUCGGCUAACUCCGUGCCAGCAGCCGCGGUAAUACGGAGGAUGCAAGCGUUAUCCGGAAUUAUUGGGCGUAAAGCGUCCGUAGGUGGUUAUGCAAGUCUGCCGUUAAAGAAUGGAGCUUAACUCCAUAGGAGCGGUGGAAACUGCAAGACUAGAGUACAGUAGGGGUAGCAGGAAUUCCCAGUGUAGCGGUGAAAUGCGUAGAUAUUGGGAAGAACAUCGGUGGCGAAAGCGUGCUACUGGGCUGAAACUGACACUGAGGGACGAAAGCUAGGGUAGCGAAAGGGAUUAGAUACCCCUGUAGUCCUAGCCGUAAACGAUGGAUACUAGGCGUGGCUUGUAUCGACCCGAGCCGUGCCGAAGCUAACGCGUUAAGUAUCCCGCCUGGGGAGUACGCACGCAAGUGUGAAACUCAAAGGAAUUGACGGGGGCCCGCACAAGCGGUGGAGUAUGUGGU
rnacentral:rRNA from 1 species